rnacentral:lncRNA from 1 species
GUAGAUUCUGCGACGUCGUUGUGUAGAUAUUGUUCCCUGGAACGUUGUUGUUUCCUUGCCAGUAACCAACCGGAGGUUGUUGAUUCGUCUGAGACACCGUCGUCGUCGGAGGCUGAUUUUGAGCGUAAGUUGGAGUGAAGUAUCGGCCGUCUUCGCUUUUUCUUCUGUACAUAGCCUCUUGUUGUAGCUGCUGCUGCAUCUGUUGUUCUUGAUCUCUGAUCUGAAUCCUCUGAAACUCAUGUAUCUGUCUUUGAAUAUCCACAGGGUGCUGCUCCGGUGUUAUCACCUGCUGAUUAACGAACAUCUGUGGAUCUUGAAUAAUCUGUUGCGGCGGAGAAGCUGGAGCUGGAGGAGCUACAACUACUUUCUCCGAUCCGAACAAAAAAUCA